CUCAUUUCGUGCAUCCUUUAAGUGAGGCAUGCUUACACAAGGCUUUAUUUAUGUAAGCAGCAAUGAUAUAUAUGCAUGAACAUCUUGAGAAGCAUUUGAUGGAUUGCAUAACUUCAUUAGGAAUUAAUCUCAUUCUAUCCAGAGCUGGGAACCGUUCACACAAUGCUAGCCAAUAUGGCUUAAUAAUGUGCUAAAUAGAUCCA